AUGACUAAUGAGCUGCAGAUGUCCGGCUCCAAAAUUGCAAGCAGGAAAAACACAGCUUAUUGGUUCUUUUUGAGAAAAGCCCCUGGGAUACAAGAAAAAAGAACACAACAUUCUUUCAAAGGCAUUGCUGGGAGCUCUCAGAGAUGUCACUUACAUUAGGUCCUCAUCUAAUCAUCACAACAAACGGAGAGAAUACAAACAAGUGAUUUUUUCAAGUUUGUUCUUGGAGAUCUGAAAAUGUAAAGGUUCUAGUUCAGUUUGCCUCAAAUAUAAGCAGAUGCAAUAAACUACAUUCUUUUUUUAAAAAAAAAAAAUUGGCCCUGAGCUAACAUCUGUUGCCAAUUUUUUUUUUCUUGUUCUCCCCAAAAUCCCCCAGUACAUAGUUUUAUAUUCUAGUUGUGGGUCCUUCUAGUUCUGUUAUGUGGGACACUGCCUCAGCGUGGCUUGACGAGUGGUGCUAAGUCCAUGCGCAGGAUAUGAACCGGCAAAGCCCUGGGCCACCAAAGCAGAGUGUGCAAACUUGACGACACAGCUAUGGUGCCAGCCCCCUAAAAUACAUUCUUCAGUGCCUAAUUGUUUGCAGCUCUUUUCUAUCGGAGAUAGAGACAUGUUUUGAUUAUUUUGCCCACUUUUGAAGAACAUAAAACAUUGCAUGCAUGCAGUUGUAGUGACAAACAGCUCAAACAAAAAUAAAGUGGACAUUUGUGCUGCUAUACACAUUUAAAUAGUUAAGUCCCACAGGGAAAAAAUCCCUAUGGCUCAUUAAUGUAUAUCCUACUAAUUGAAGGUAAUUUCCGUAAUUCUGAUAGUAUCUGGCUGACUGACUUUAGUGCAGUGUUUUUCAAUCACAGCACUAUUGACAUUUGGGCCCGAUAGUUCUUUGUUAUCGUCUGUCAUAUUCAUUGUGGGGCAGUUAGCAGCGUCUCUGGUCGAUAUCCACUAGAUGCCAGUGGCACCUCCUCUGUAAUCACAACUAAAAAUGUCUCCAGACAUUGCCAAGCGGCUCCUAGUGAGAGGGGCAAAAUCACUCCAGUUGAACACUACUGCUUUAGUGCUGUCUUGUAGAAAGGAUGCAAAACAAACUAUGGCCAUGAAAAAGCAGACAGCUGUGCUAAGUAUCUUAUAAGUGCUGCUACCAUCAUACUCUAACAUCAUCCUAUUCCAACUAGUCAGCAAAGAAAGCCUUAGGACCACACCAUGGCAGACAUCUUCCAGAACAGCAAUUGCACCUAAAAGAAACAAAGUUACAUUUUUAACAGCCCAUGAUUAAGAUUUUUUCCUAAGCUGUGCUGGAAUGCUUAACAGCCAUCACACAGUGACUAUACGUGCUACAUUCUGUUGUGUUCUUAAAUCAUUUUAUUUAAUACUCUCAAAAAGCUUGCAAAGAAAAUAAUGUCAGUCACUGAUUAUAUAUGGAAAAAAAGCUUGGAGAUGCUAAGAUUUGUCCUCGGUCACACAACUGGAGAGUGACAAGAGGGGCUUAGGGUUCUGUACUGUCUGGUUUCAAAUUUCAUUUUCAAAUGUCAUUUUUAUCAUAUGAUCUCUGUUAGUCUACAGUUGGGCAAACGGGAUUAAAUUUGUUGACACAGGU
rnacentral:lncRNA from 1 species